rnacentral:rRNA from 1 species
CCUACGGGUGGCAGCAGUGAGGAAUAUUGGUCAAUGGACGAGAGUCUGAACCAGCCAAGUAGCGUGAAGGAUGACUGCCCUAUGGGUUGUAAACUUCUUUUAUAUGGGAAUAAAAUGUUCCACGUGUGGGAUUUUGUAUGUACCAUAUGAAUAAGGAUCGGCUAACUCCGUGCCAGCAGCCGCGGUAAUACGGAGGAUCCGAGCGUUAUUCGGAUUUAUUGGGUUUAAAGGGAGCGUAGGUGGAUUGUUAAGUCAGUUGUGAAAGUUUGCGACUCAACCGUAAAAUUGCAGUUGAAACUGGCAGUCUUGAGUACAGUAGAGGUGGGCGGAAUUCGUGGUGUAGCGGUGAAAUGCUUAGAUAUCACGAAGAACUCCGAUUGCGAAGGCAGUUCACUGGACUGCAACUGACACUGAGGCUCGAAAGUGUGGGUAUCAAACAGGAUUAGAUACCCCUGUAGUC